GAAAAUAAUUAGGUUUUUUGUUUUAUUAUUUUAAAAAUAAUAUACACAAUAAUAAUACAUAAAUAAGUAUUUUUCCUAUCAGGAUCCGAAAAUCGAGAUCAAGUCAUUAAGAUUGCCUACUCGAAAUACUCGAAAAAUCCAAAUAGAUCCUGUGACGAAAUAAUGAAAUAUUCGACUUGGAGAAUCCGUUUUUUAUACGAAACUGUGAAAUUCAAAUGUGAAUAUGCUCGACCAAACAAGACUCAAUUGUUACAACAGUAUCCCG